rnacentral:rRNA from 1 species
GACGAACGCUGGCGGCGUGCCUAAUACAUGCAAGUAGAACGCUGAAGGAGGAGCUUGCUUCUCUGGAUGAGUUGCGAACGGGUGAGUAACGCGUAGGUAACCUGCCUGGUAGCGGGGGAUAACUAUUGGAAGCGAUAGCUAAUACCGCAUAAGAGUAGAUGUUGCAUGACAUUUGCUUAAAAGGUGCAAUUGCAUCACUACCAGAUGGACCUGCGUUGUAUUAGCUAGUUGGUGGGGUAACGGCUUACCAAGGCGACGAUACAUAGCCGACCUGAGAGGGUGAUCGGCCACACUGGGACUGAGACACGGCCCAGACUCCUACGGGAGGCAGCAGUAGGGAAUCUUCGGCAAUGGACGGAAGUCUGACCGAGCAACGCCGCGUGAGUGAAGAAGGUUUUCGGAUCGUAAAGCUCUGUUGUAAGAGAAGAACGAGUGUGAGAGUGGAAAGUUCACACUGUGACGGUAUCUUACCAGAAAGGGACGGCUAACUACGUG